UACAGAGGGUGCGAGCGUUGUCCGGAAUCACUGGGCGUAAAGGGCGCGUAGGUGGUGGCUUAAGCGUGCGGUGAAAGCUCGGAGCUCAACUCCGAGUCGGCCGUGCGAACUGGGCUCACUGGAGCAUAGUAGAGGCAGGUGGAAUUCCGGGUGUAGCGGUGGAAUGCGUAGAGAUCCGGAGGAACACCGGUGGCGAAGGCGGCCUGCUGGGCUAUGGCUGACACUGAGGCGCGACAGCGUGGGGAGCAAACAGG
rnacentral:rRNA from 1 species